rnacentral:lncRNA from 1 species
CAAUGUUAAGAUUUUAGUAGUGAACUACGACAGCCCACACGCGGACACACCACAAUACUAAAAAUAUCUUUAAAGUCUUCGUCAACCGCAACUCAAUCAGUGAGCUAAAAGACUUUUUCAAUAAUUGAAUGUGAGACGACCCCGUUUCGCAGUAAUUUAUAUGAUAGUGAUGUUCUCCAAUAUUAUUGUCGUUUCCUUUUUUUUUUUUUCUUUUUUCUUUUAUGCUUAAGAACCGGAAAAUUCUUUGAAGCAUGUGAUUGUGUUAGCUAGCUGAAGUUCACAAAAUAAGGGUCGGUAUGGAUUUUCGUUUCAUGAUGACUAUUAUUGUUAAGCAUGAAAGAAGAGAAAACCAUUCAAAUUAGGAGCCUAAGCUAUGGUCCCCCCGGACCGUACAUCCCUAUGUCUCCAACAUUAGAUUUCAUGAACGGUUACGAUUAAUUUAAUUAUUGUAACUUGGAACCGGUAAUUAAAAAGUUUCCAUGAGAUGUUAAAUGCUUACAAUCUAAUGGUUGAUAUUCAUCCACAUAAUCUCUUUGAACACAUAAAUUCUCUCCCUAAAAAUUAAAUUUUCAAUCUCUCAGUAAAAUUCACACAUCAUCUUAUUUAUAUUUAAUUUAUCUCUCUCAAAAAUUAACUCUGGGUUUGUUUCCAUACAUAUUCACGGUUUGUACUCCGAGUUAUUUCUUAUAAAAAUUGGAGAUUUGUACAUUGAAACUAGGGGUUUCUUCGUUAACUCUGGGGUUUUUCCAAUGCGUAUUUGGGGUCUGUGUACUUUAUGUUAUUUCCAUAAAACUUGGAGAUUCAUACAUUGAAAUUAGGGUUUAAAAUUUAUCGUGGGAACAGCAACGUUGUUUUUUGGGGUUUGCAUAUUUACUCCGGGAUUUGAUCUUGCUCUCGUUGAUAUUGGGGUUUCCCAUCACGCUUUCAAGCAACUACUAAAGCAAUAAUUUUGCGUCUUAUGGCUGUGUUGAGUUGCUUAAAUGAUCCAUAACUCAUGGAAUCACGAUAUGAACUAAAAGACUUUUCGACUGUCAUACGACCCCAUUUGAUUGGAACUAUUUUGAUACGAUAAUGUGUUCCUCCCGUUAAUUUCGCACCCCUAAUUUGUUUUCUUUGAAGCUCAAAAAGCAGGACAAUUCUUUGAAAGCGUGUCAUUGUGUGAGCCAAGCUCACACAUCAAAGGCUGAAGACAAGACAGCCAUUCAGACCAUGAAAUUAAAUUUAUAUUGGCAACAGACUUAGUAAAUGAUGAACAAUUGUAAAAGCAUUAAUUGACUAUGGUCUUUUUAUACUAAAAAUUGAACAAAAUACAUUUAAGAAAUUAGUCUUAAGAAAAAGCAAAAGCGUUUGCAUAACAGAAAGACUUCGUAAAGAGUAAAAGGUGGUAUAAGUGCAUGCUUACUUCACCUGUUGUGAUGUCAUCAUAGCUAGGCAUCAAAAAAUUAGAAGAUAAGAUCAAAGUUUUAAGCUGUCCUCAAUAAUUCUUAUAUGAUUUAUAUUUCCCCAAUAAACAAUCUCGAUUACAUUGACAUGUGGCUAAGCUUGAUUCCCUUUCAUCUGGGCUAAGUUCGCAUGGAAGAAGUAUUUUUAAGCCAAGCAACUUCAAAAAUUGUCACCCAAGUUGCAACAAUAAGAUAAGGCUGGCGCUAAGUUAUAUUUAACAUAACUUGCGCCUCUCACAGCAAUAGUACCCGGUCCAAUCAGUAGUACUGCUGCUGUGAGAGGGCGUAAAUUACGUUAAACGUAACUUAGGCCCUCCCAUAAGAUGAUUGUCACUCCUACAAAAGCUUACN